GACGAACGCUGGCGGCGUGCUUAACACAUGCAAGUCGAACGGAAAGGCCCUGCUUUUGUGGUGUUCUCGAGUGGCGAACGGGUGAGUAACACGUGAGUAACCUGCCCUUGACUUUGGGAUAACUUCAGGAAACUGGGGCUAAUACCGGAUAGGAGCUCCUGCUGCAUGGUGGGGGUUGGAAAUUUGCGGCGGGUGGGGAUGGACUCGCGGCUUAUCAGCUUGUUGGUUGGGUAGUGGCUUACCAAGGCUUUGACGGGUAGGCGGCCUGAGAGGGUGACCGGCCACAUUGGGACUGCGAUACGGCCCAGACGCCAACGGGAGGCAGCAGUGGGGAACAUUGCACAAUGGGCGGAAGCCUGAUGCAGAAACGCCGCGUGCGGGAUGACGGCCUUCGGGUUGUAAACCGCUUUCGCCUGUGACGAAGCGUGAGUGACGGUAAUGGGUAAAGAAGCACCGGCUAACUACGUG
rnacentral:rRNA from 1 species